rnacentral:lncRNA from 1 species
GUUUGAUGUGUAGUCCUGUGAUUGAUGUUCAUUUCCUACUCAGUUCAAAGUAACACCGCUCGUUGUAACAGCAGACAGGACGCACACAGAGUGAGGAAAAGCCUUUAACACAGAGGAUUUGUGUUCCACGGUGGUGCCAAUAACAACGGGAUCGCUACUGUAGUCGUGUUAGUGGUUUUAUUUACGUACAAAUAAUGUAUCUUUGCAAAAAAACAACAAACUGAAUCCUCCUCAGUUCCCAGAUAAGGUAGAAGAUAUAAAGGUUUUAUCAGUUGAAACGUCUCUAAAGGAUCAACCUUAUAUUUAUAUUCUGCUCUGUCACUUCCUCACUUGGCUUUAAACCCCUAUGUCAUGUUGUUAUAAAUCACAACAUAGAAUCUAUAGACAGUUGGCAGGGUGAUAAAGAUACUGGGCUGCUGAGGACAUCAGAUGCACCAGACACUGGACAUACAUUACAUUACUCUAGACUACUGGUCUGUCAGUUCAGACACAACAGAACUCUAGCAGGGAUAGAAUGGAGACUAAAAGCUGCUUCGUUUUGUUUAUAGGAGAAACCAGGUGAUCUGGGACUUAACAAGUUGAUAGAGCUGAAGAUUCUGUGUUGCGGUUUUCUUUAACCCUUUAAAUCAAUUUCUCUUCAAAUGAAUAUAUCAGCUUUGAUUUUCAUGUUUGUAAAAUACCAUUAUUGUAAAAUACCAAGUACCAUAGUGUGUGUGAUCUGAUGAACUGACCUUUCCCAUUCAAACAAACUGCUGACCCUUGACCCCUUCCUUCCUUCCUCUUUUAUUUUUAUAACUGUGAGAGGUGACAUCAUCCAAACUCAUCCUGUACUAGACACAACACAGGCCAGGUGUGAAAACAGACAAACAAGAGUUCGCCUGUAGCUAACGAUGACGCCUCACCUGGAACACUGGAGGCUGGUGGGCGGAGAUAUCGGAGGACGGGCUCAUUGUUAACGGCUGGAAUGGACUGAAAGGAGCGGUAUCAAAACACGCGACAACUUUCGUAUCCAUUCCAUUCCAGCUGUUAUGAUGAGCCUGUCCCUAACUACAUCUCCACCCACCAGCCUCCGCUGACCUGUAACCAAGGUAACCAACAUGUCAAUCUAUAGAAGACAAGUCAUCGGUGUGAGAUAAAGCUACAAAACAAUAAACCAAUGAGAAUAACAUUACUAGCUAACUAAAGAGACAUAACUAUAACAGUGAUUAAUAGCAGUCACUUCUGAGUGGUCAGUUUGGCUUGAUGGAUCCAUAUAGUGCCAUGUUGUGAAUACAUUUAUAAUAACAUUUUAAAUGGAGUAAAUUGAAAACCUGUAUUCAAAAACCCUGUUCCAAAUUAUUACAGAUGAGAGUUGUGUUAAAUCUUAAGGGAAUAUUUGUUAUCAAAUGGAUUGUACCUGUCAGAGAAAGAAGGAACUAGCAAAGAUAACUCUGUCCUAUAUUACAUGUCUAUUUUUCAUAUAACAUAAUAAAUACAACUUGGAAUUAUCAGCAGCUUACUCCUGGUGACGAUUCUGUUUUCUGAUCAACUGUCU